AUUAUAUUUUCACCCCCCUUCUUUAAGAACUUCCAUGCUAGCUUUCAGAGCAUAUUUUUUCCAUACUUUUGUUUGGUCUCAGGUCAGUGUGCUAUUAUACUUUUUUUCAAAUGAUGUAUCAUUCAUCAGUGAAACAUUCCAGAUGAAUUCCAAUUAUGCAGGCCAUGAAUAGCUUUAAUAUCAGCAGCAUUGAGAACAUGUAUAUUAUAUUGUUUCUAUGUUAAUGAUUGAUUGAUGGUCGAUCAAUCCAAAAUAUUGUUUGAAAAACGGUACAAUGUAACAGGAUGUAAUUGUGUUAUUCCAUUUUUUGUUUAAUAUAUUUUCUUUGUGGUUCGCUCGCAAAAAAUUGGGAAAGUUAAUUGAAAGGAGUGGAAAUCUUCCAGUAUAAAAUUCCAGAAUGUAAAACGGUGUGAAUUAUCUCUACAGCAGCUAUUUAUUGGAAUAUUGCAAAUCCAGCGGUUGUGCCAUAACUUGUUCAUCAUGUUAUAUAUGAUCAUACGAAAUUUUGUAAAUAUCAAAUUGUCAGACAUAUUACUCUUCCAAACCAUAUUCCGAUAUUUGUCGCCUUUAAUUUCUGAAUGGUUGAAGUCUGUAUGUUUUUUUCCCUCUACCUUUGGUCCAAAUACUACAAAAGAAGCAUUGAGAUUGCGUUAAGAUCCGAGUUUUCUUUUUAUUGAUCUCAUUGGUUUGCUAGUUGAUAGAACGAGAUUCUAGCUAGUAGGAUCCAAAUUUGACAAUGUGCUUAAUGUGAUAUGUAAUCAUACUUUCAUCUGUUGCCUAAUUCAUGUUUAUGUGCAUUUUAAAUGUAUUUAAUUUUAGUAUUCUAUAAGGUUGUGUAUUGUAUAAAAUCGUUAAGGAAUGCAAAAACUUGAGAAGAGGAGCAUUUUGUUUGAGAUAUAAAUGUAUCGGCUUUUAAUCUCGUGUAUCUGAUCACUGAAUUCCAAGAAAUUUAGCCAGUAUUUAACAUUGUGAACAAAUAUUCCAAAGACAGAGGUGGUAUGCAAAUGUAUGCUAUUGAAAAAGGGGGGGAGGGGAAGUGUAUCUGUUGCAAGUCAGUCGAAAAAUAUAUAAUUAUCCAUCCUAAUGCAUUUUGAGGUUUCACAUGUAUAAAGAAAUGUCCCUCAAAAGCAAGUGUUGUAUUUUCAUGUUCAUGCAGUCACCAGUAUGUAUUUGCAAUAUUCAAUACAUGUCAAUCAGAUAAAUUGUUUGCCCCAUUGUAAAAAAAACAUAUAUUAUAUGAUGAUCUUUUUAUGCAUCCGAUUGGAUGAAAAGAUUUAUUUCUGUUCCCUUGAAUUUACUAAACAUUGAAAGCUUUAUCAUUCCAAGUUCUCCAAGGGAUAAAAAAAUAUAUACAUGUAAUUAUAGAGAUCUACACAAAAGUAUAACUGUCUUGAUGAGAUGAAUGUCUGUGAUUUUUUAAAUGUGUGAAAGAACAAAGUGCAAAUUGUACAUGUAUAUUGAUUAUAUUGUCACCUGCAAAUUUUGUAUUUAUUUUUUUGCUGUUUUAUUUGAUAUAGAUUUUUUUUUGUCAAUUUUUGUAGAAAGAAUGUGAGGCUUUUCUCUUUUUAUAAAGGUCUACAAAUAAAUGAUGAUAU
rnacentral:sRNA from 1 species